rnacentral:lncRNA from 1 species
GAUACAAUUUUAGGUCUCCCUCAAAAACUAUUCUCAUUUAUUUCCCCUGCAUCUAUACUUUCCUCUUACCAUCCCCUCCCCUUCGUUAAUGAAAUUCCUGUCUAAGAGGUGAAAGAUUCCCCACGGGCUUGCAAAUAAAAAGCCAGUGUGGGAGCAAUCUGUGGGAAGAUGCAUGCAGAGUGUGAUGGAGAGUUCAGGGGCUCGUGUGACAAUCCGUGCAAAUGUUUCUAAAGAAUGUGAUUUCCAUGACAACAAUGACCUUUCUGCAUUGUCUACUCCUGUGAUCCAGCACAGUGCCUGGCUCUUGUGGAAUUCCAGAAUCCCACAUGUUUGCCUCUGCCUCUGCCUGAGAGCUCCAGCUACUGCCUGGGUUAUGUAAACUAAAGACAUAUGGCUGAGAUGGUAAUUCUCACAUAGAUCUUUUUCUCCUGGUGAGUAACAAACUUCAAAUUACCACCCACAGUUGAUCAGGGAACACUGAAAAAUGACAACCAGUUCUGGUAUUCACCCAGGGCACACCCAUCCUGCCACACUGGAAGUUAAGAUAUUGAACUUUCUGUAUGAGUUGUUCAAAGCUGCUGCCCUAAAGGACAUGAACAGACACUUCUCAAAAGAAAACAUUCAUGCGGCCAACAAACAUGAAAAAAAACUCAGGCUGGGCGCGGUGGCUCAUACCUGUAAUCCCAGCACUUUGGAAGGCCAAGGUGGGUGGAUCACGAGGUCAGGAGUUCAAGGCCAGCCUGGCCAAGAUGGUGAAACCCUGUUUCUACUAAAAAUACAAAAAUUAGCUGGGCAUGGUGGCAAGCACCUGUAAUCCCAGUUACUCGAGAGGCUGAAGCAGGAGAAUCGCUUGAACCCGAGGGAGCGGGGGCGCAGAGGUUGCAGUGAGCAGAGAUUGUGCAGCCGCACUCCAGCCUGGGUGACAGAGCAAGACUUCGUCUCAAAAGAAAAAAAAAAAGCUCAACAUCACUGAUCAUCAGAGAAAUGCAAAUCAAAACCAAAAUGAGAUACCAUCUUACACCAGUCAGAAUGGCAAUUAUUAAAAAGUCAAGAAACUGCAGAUGUUGGCAAAGUUGUGGAGAAAAAGGAAGAAUGCUUUUACACUGUUGGUGGGAAUGUAAAUUAGUUCAACCACAGUGCGGCGAUUCCUCAAAGAUCUAGAAGCGGAAAUACCGUUUGACCCAGCAAUCUUAUUACUGGGUAUAUACCAAAAGGAAUAUAAAUCAUUCUAUUAUAAAGAUACAUAUAUUUUCAUAUAUAAAGAUGUAUGUUCAUUGCAACACUGUUUACAAUAGCAAAGGCAUGGAAUCAACCCAAAUGUGCAUCAACAUAGACUGGAUAAAGAAAAUGUGGUACAUGUACACCAUGGAAUACUAUGCAGCCAUAACAAGGAAUGAGAUCAUGUCAUUUGCAGGGACAUGGUUGGAGCUGGAAGCUGUAAUCCUCAGCAAACUAACGCAGGAACAGAAAACCAAACACCACAUGUUCUCACUUAUAAGUGGGAGCUGAACAAUGAGAACAGAGGGAGGGGAACAACACACACUGGGGCCUGUCGGGUGGGGGUUGGGGAGAGGGAAAGCAUCAGGAAGAAUAGCUGAUGGGUGCUGGGCUUAAUAAUACUUAAGUGAUGGUUUGUUCUGUGCAGUAAACCACCAUGGCACACGUUUACCUAUGUAAACUGCACAUCCUGCACAUGUACCCCAGGACUUAAAAUAAAAGUUUAAGGGGAAAAAAA